GACGAACGCUGGCGGCGUGCCUAACACAUGCAAGUCGAGCGAAUGAAGUUCCUUCGGGAACGGAUUUAGCGGCGGACGGGUGAGUAACACGUGGGCAACCUACCUCAUAGAGGGGAAUAGCCUUCCGAAAGGGAGAUUAAUACCGCAUAAGAUUGUAGUACCGCAUGAUACAGCAAUUAAGGAGCAAUCCGCUAUGAGAUGGGCCCGCGGCGCAUUAGCUAGUUGGUGAGGUAACGGCUCACCAAGGCGACGAUGCGUAGCCGACCUGAGAGGGUGAUCGGCCACAUUGGGACUGAGACACGGCCCAGACUCCUACGGGAGGCAGCAGUGGGGAAUAUUGCACAAUGGGGGAAACCCUGAUGCAGCAACGCCGCGUGAGUGAUGAGGCCUGGUUGUAAAGCUCUGUCUUCAGGACGAUAAUGACGGU
rnacentral:rRNA from 1 species